rnacentral:tRNA from 1 species
CCAGUUAGCUCAGUCAGUUGAGCAUAGCGCUAACAACGAUAAAGUUGCGGGUUCGAUUCCCGUAGUGG